ACUCCUGGCUCAUCUUCUCCCUAGGGAAGGGAGUGGAGGCGCUUGAGCUUGAAUUUCUGUGUAGAAGAUAACAUAGACGACGAUCCCCGCUAUGCGUUGCCCUCCAUUCAGCCCCAUCUAUUUCCCAAACUUAGAUCACUGAAAUCGCUCUGUCUUGGUGAUUUACCCACAAGUAAUGAUUCUCUCGAGCAUCUCUUGCUGGCAAGCCAGUUCCUUGAGAGACUGCACCUUCGCAAUUUAACCUCUUUAACCGAGGUCAAUAUCAGCGGCCCCCUGUCAAGGUUGAAAUACAUAGACAUAUUCCAUUGCAAAACUGUGCGGUCGAUCAUGAUAUCGGCCCCGUACGCCUGACCUGUUCUCAUUCACAUACCCGGGUUGGGUGGAAGCCGUGCACGUCGAGCAUGCGCCUCGCUCCAGUCCCUUCACCUUAGCAUGCGGUCUUGGUAUAUGGUUGGCUCCACAUUUCAACUAUUAACUUCAUUAUAUAAUUGGUUGCCUCAUCUUCCGAACCUGAGCGGUCUGAAGCACCUCAAGCUGUCAUUAGAUGGUCUAAGUUUUCUCGAUAAUCAAACUCGUCGAGCACAGAACCUCCGUGGUAUGGUUUCCCUGAUAAAGGCAGCCCCCUGCGUGCAACACCUAAGACUGCUGGUGGCUAUUGUUUAAAAAAAGCUCGAUAAAAGCCACAAGGGCUAUGCUAAAGGAACCAAGGUUAUUGCUGUUGGAUGAGGCAACAAGUGUCCUCGAUAGCCAGUCAGAGAGGGUCGGGCAGGAUGCGCUGGAAGAGCUGAUGAAGGGCAAGACAAUGCCUGUUGACUGCUGGAUUGUUAUAGCUAUGGGCGACGACAAUGUUCAACUUGGCUCAGUGUUCGGAAAUUGGGGUAUGCGGAUCACAUUAAUUAUCGUUUUUGCUGAGAGAUUUGGCUUUCUUUUCCUUCAUAAUUCAGCUCUCGGGAGGACAAAAGCAGCAAGUGGUCAUCGCAAGGGCUAUACUAAAGGAACCAAGGUUAUUGCUGUUAGAUGAACCAAGUGUGGUGGCGGCACACAGACUGAUCACGUAUACAACUGUGACCUGAUCGCUAUGCGGAAUAAUGGUAAGGUAGUGGAGGAAGGCAGCCAUUCCUUGUUGUUAGCAAAGGGCCAACAGGCGCCUGCUAUUCGCUCGUGAACCUCCAGAACACAUACACCUCGGGCACGAACUUGAAUAAUUUCUGAGUUAUAUAUAUAUAUAUAUAUAUCUGAAAGAACUCUGGGUUUUGCACACGAUAGAUUGUUAAUGAAAUUUCCAGGCAAAAAGUUGGUAAUGAAGAAAGAAAAUGGAUGAAAA